rnacentral:misc_RNA from 1 species
GAUGAAGAACGCAGCGAAAUGCGAAAAGUAAUGUGAAUUGCAGAAUUCAGUGAAUCAUCGAAUCUUUGAACGCACAUUGCGCCCGCUGGUACUCCGGCGGGCACGCCUGUCCGAGCGUCAUUUCAACCAUCAAGCCCCAGGCUUGCGUUGGAGCCCUGCGGCUGCCGCAGCCUCCUAAAAGCAGUGGCGGGCUCGCUAUCACACCGAGUGCAGUAGAUUACUCUUCGCUCAGGGCGUGCAGCGGGUUCCGGCCGUGAAACCCCCUACUUUUAAAGGUUGACCUCGGAUCAGGUAGGAAUACCCGCUGAACUUAAGCAUAUCAAUAAGCGGAGGA